AAACAGGAUUCCUUUAGUAAUGGCGAAUGAAGAAGGAUUAGCUCAACAUGAAAAUUGGGGCUUCUGGCCUUGAAUUGUAGUUUGAAGAUGCAUUUGCCAAUGGACAUGAUAAUGAAAGCCUUUUGGGAAAAAGCAUCAACGAGGGUGAGAAUCCUUCUUGACAUUUCAAUUGUCCAUGUACGGUGUGCAUUGAAGAUUCACGUUCCUUGGGAUUUGAACGCAAACUUGUUGGUAAAUUUCAUUUAAAGCUAAAUAUUGGUUUGAGACCGAUAGAAAACAAGUACCAUGAGGGAAAAGUGAAAAGGACUUUGAAAAGAAAGUUAAAAGUGCUUGAAAUUGCUGAAGAGGAAGCGGGUGUAUUUCAAACACAAUUUUCAAGAUUGUUGUGCAUAUCUGUGAUUUCUUGUUGUUUUGACUUCAUCGCAGCAACAAGACUGAUCUGUGACUGCACAAUGUUGCUUGUGUUUUGUGCCAUCAUCGAUUCACAGCUAAAGAAACAGCCUGAAAAUGACGAUUUGCUCUUGUGCAAAUGAAUGUUUGGGUGUAGAUUUAGCUUGUGGACCGUCUGUCUUCCUGUUGUGUUGAUACCUUGGUGUCCACAACAUGAAAAUGAUGGCCAAAGAAAUACAUUCGGCCCGUCUUGAAA
rnacentral:rRNA from 1 species